UACGUAGGCGGCAAGCGUUGUUCGGAAUUACUGGGCGUAAAGAGUGUGUAGGCGGUGCUCUAAGUUUGGUGUGAAAUCUCCCGGCUCAACUGGGAGGGUGCGCCGAAAACUGGAAUGCUUGAACAUGGGAGAGGAAAGCGGAAUUCCUGGUGUAGCGGUGAAAUGCGUAGAUAUCAGGAGGAACACCUGCGGUGUAGACGGCUUUCUGGACCAUUGUUGACGCUGAGACACGAAAGCGUGGGUAGCAAACAGG
rnacentral:rRNA from 1 species